CAACGCCGAAGAUGUUUUGGCGGAUGAGAGAAGAUUUUCAGCACUGAUUCAGAGUUGAGUACACAAUAAUUUGCGCAGCAGCAAGGCGGCAAGCGAAGGAAAGGAAGGAGCAUACAGAAGUAUGUGACUGACUUUACGAGCGCAGGCAACGCCGCUGAUGCGAUAAAGAAUUGCGUACAGAGCACAAAGAAUUUGCCUGGCGGCACUAGCGCGGUGGUCCCACCUGACCCCAUGCCGAACUCAGAAGUGAAACGCCGUAGCGCCGAUGGUAGUGUGGGGUCUCCCCAUGCGAGAGU
rnacentral:rRNA from 1 species